CGGGUCGCUAAAAAGUGCUGUGAUUGAGGAUGCCCGGAGAAUACCUAUUAACUCCAACUGCUCACAAAGUGUCGAUCUUUUCGCUCAGGCAUUUAUUUGGACACUGCUGAUGCGCGCCACAUAACUGGGAGGACCUCUGUUGUUCCAGCGCCGUUUGAAAUAACGAGCGAACAGGCCAAUGAAAAAUAUACGUUUCUCAUCUGAAUGAAAUCUACAACAUCUUGGUUGCUAAUUCGGUGCUGGUUAAGCUCUUUGUCCUGAGCCUGAAGGUCCAGUUACUGCAGCCAUUGUCCUGUGCUCAAAGGCGCCGGUGCACACUUCCUAUGUGCAAGCAGUGUCGUGGUCAGUUAAUUCAUGGAUUUACCAAAAAGGUGCCAUAGAGAAGCAGAAGUUGGUAUACAUCCUGAACAGAGAUGCAGCUGCCCACCUUACCGUCUCCUCCCCUCUAGAGGCCCACAAGGCAAAUACACUUGUUUACCAUGUGGUUGGUGUGGAUGUGGGGUUUGAGAAUCUCCAGGAUGGACU